UUGAUUUUUGGAGUGUACUUUUGAUUUUAUGGUGAAAUUGAAGAUUUUUGUGUGUGUGUGUUUAAGAUUGUAAGAUUUAGUGAACGAACCAGAUUAGUACCUGGUUAGAUAAAAAUUAAAAGAGCAGGAGUAAAGUUGAGUUUAAACUGUAAUAAUAUUGGCAGGCUUUUAAAUUAUCUUUGGAGGCUGAGUAGUAAUUGAGAGCCCUCAUUUACAACUCUUAUUUUGGGCUCAUGUAUGAUCGUUUAUUUUAUUCUUAAGGAUUGUAAUUUUAGUUUUUAUCUGUUAAAAUAGAUAUAUACUUGGUUUAUAUAGGAGGUUAAUUUGGCCUACAAUGUUGUAUUUUUUGGAUAGUGCUGGCAGUUGGUACUUGAAAUUGUAAAAGACAGUAAAGCCCCUUUAAUGGGGGAUUGAAGUUUAUUUGAAAGCGGUACAAA
rnacentral:rRNA from 1 species